rnacentral:rRNA from 1 species
UACGUAGGAAGCAAGCGUUAUCCGGAUUUAUUGGGCGUAAAGGGUGCGUAGGCGGCUUGUUAAGUAUGAAAUUAAAGCCCGGGGCUUAACUCCGGUUCGUUUCAUAAACUGGCUUGCUUGAGUAUGGAAGAGGCAAACGGAAUUUCUAGUGUAGCGGUGGAAUGCGUAGAUAUUAGAAGGAACACCAGUGGCGAAGGCGGUUUGCUGGGCCAUUACUGACGCUGAGGCACGAAAGCGUGGGGAGCAAAUA